rnacentral:rRNA from 1 species
UAAUACGUAGGUGGCAAGCGUUGUCCGGAAUUAUUGGGCGUAAAGGGCUCGCAGGCGGUUUCUUAAGUCUGAUGUGAAAGCCCCCGGCUCAACCGGGGAGGGUCAUUGGAAACUGGGAAACUUGAGUGCAGAAGAGGAGAGUGGAAUUCCACGUGUAGCGGUGAAAUGCGUAGAGAUGUGGAGGAACACCAGUGGCGAAGGCGACUCUCUGGUCUGUAACUGACGCUGAGGAGCGAAAGCGUGGGGAGCGAACAGG